rnacentral:rRNA from 1 species
AAUCCCUUAACGAGGAACAAUUGGAGGACAAGCCUGGUGCCAGCACCCGCGGUAAUUCCAGCUCCAAUAGCGUAUAUUAAAGUUGUUGCAGUUAAAACGCUCGUAGUCCGAAUUCUAGGUGGGGCAAAGAGGAAGAUCCGGGAAGGAUUGCUCCUUGGCGUCCCCCUUUUUAGUGGGAGAGGUUGGCUGUUCUUAGUUGAGUGGAUUGACUUUUUCUGCAACUGUACUGUGAAUAAAUUAGAGUGCUUAAAGCAAGCGAGUUGCAUGAAUACAUUAGCAUGGAAUACUGAAAAAAGGCAGCAGUCAUCUUAUUGGGGAUUUGAUGGCUUUCUUUUAGCUGCAAUGAUCAACGGGAACAGUUGGGGUGAUUGGUAUUUAGUUGUCAGAGGUGAAAUUCUUGGAUUGAAUAAAGACCAACUGCAGCGAAAGCGUUUUACAAGGAUGUUUUCAUUGAUCAAGAACGAAAGUUGGGGGAUCGAAGACGAUCAGAUACCGUCGUAGUCUCAACUAUAAACGUUACCGACUAAGGAUCGAGAGAUGUUUCUUGGAUGACUCACUCGGCACUUUGAGAGAAAUCAAAGUUUUUGGGUUCCGGGGGGAGUAUGGUCGCAAGGCUGAAACUUAAAGGAAUUGACGGAAGGGCACACCAGAAGUGGAGCCUGCGGCUUAAUUUGACCCAACACGGGGAAACUCACCGGGUCCGGACACAAUAAGGAUUGACAGAUUGAAGCUCUUUCUUGAUUUUGUGGGUGGUGGUGCAUGGCCGUUCUUAGUUGGUGGGGUGAUUUGUCUGGUUGAUUCCGAUAACGAACGAGACGCCAACCUACUAAAUAGGGGCUCCGGUUUUCUUGCAAGUGAAAGCCAUGUGGGUGAGUUUCUGAAAGGAAGCUUGUUUCUGUUGGACGGAUCUUUGAAAUACAGGGAGAAUCUUCUUAGAGGGACUACUGCUGUUUAAGCAGGGGAAGUGGCGCAAUAACAGGUCUGUGAUGCCCUUAGAUGUCUCGGGCUGCACGCGCGCUACAAUGCAUGAAGUUAACGAGUUUUCACUGGGCUUAGUGGCUUGGUAAAUCUUUGCAAUCUCAUGCGUAACGGGGAUUGAUCAUUGUAAUUAUUGGUCAUGAACGAGGAAUUUCUAGUAAGUGCAAGUCAUCAGCUUGCGCUGAUUACGUCCCUGCCCUUUGUACACACCGCCCGUCGCUCCUACCGAUUGAAUGCUCCGAUGAAAAGUUCGAAUUUGGGGUGGGCUCGCUUGCUCUGGAGAAGUUCUGUAAAUCUUAGCAUUUAGAGGAAGGAGAAGUCGUA